AGCUGGAGUCAGACACUGACACUGAGCGGGUUCGUUACGGGCGGGUGCUGCUGUUGUCCCAACUGCAGCGUCCAUAAAAUGCCCGGAAAGCGCACGUGCUCUGUCCCCUGUGAGCCCACACACUGGCCUCUGGAUGAUGAAGGAUGCUUGUCCCAGUGGGGACCCCAGCAACGGGUGAGGUGACUGGAAGCCAGACGGGCACUGACCUCCAUGCCUGGUUUCCAUGCAGGGCUCUGCAGACAUAGGCGGAAGCAGUAAGGAAUGCACAAGGCCUCAGGGCCAGAGCCAGCCCCACAGGAGAGAGGGCGGAGGGGCUGGAGCCGUGGACACAGGUGACCAUGGGGCUCAGCAGGCUCCGAGGCAGGCAGCUGCGCAGAGCCCCGAGCCCACCUCCCUCCCUUCGAGCAGGCCAGCAGCUGCAUGUCUCCUGUUCAGGCUGAACACCAGCCAGGGCUUCUGCAGUCAGGAGGCUGCAGAGUCCGAUCCAAAGGCACCAGGGAAUGCGGCAGUGGAGGCCACGCGGGACAGUGACAGAAGGAAGGUGUCUUCGCUGUGAUGCACACUAGGUGAAGAACUUGACUUGGUUCCAUAACCAGCCCUGGUGACCCCUUGAGCCCAGUCACAGAUGCCUCCUGCCGGCUUCCUGUCUCUGUCGGUGUGCCUUUCUGGACAUGUCAGAAAAGGAACAUUAAUGUGGGCUUCCCUGGGCACAGAGCUCUUGUGAUCGCCCACCUGUCUUUACCGGUUUGUUUCUUCUUGAUCACUGAAGAGCGUCCUUGUGAACUGAUCCACUGCACCACCUCUUGUUUCUGCAUUUGUCACCUGGUGAAUAAUUGGUGGGUUGGACCCUUUGUAACCUCUCUGUGAGGCCAAUAUUACCGCAUAAAGCCACACAAAGACAUUACAACAAAGCUGCACGUCAGCACUGCUUAUGAAUAUAGACACGAGAAUCCCGUACAAAACACCAGCAAACUGAAGCCAGGAACUUUGAAACAGCUUAUCCAGCAGAGCCAGGGGUUUAACAUCUGGGAAUCGGUCAGCACGAUGUGCCACACGAACAGACCACUGGCAAACAACACAUGAUCGUCUCAACAGCUGCAGAAAAGUAACUGGCAAAAUCCAACUCUGUUUCCACAACAGAAAAUGCAUUCACCAGAACAGGAAGAGGAAGGACUGUCCUGCCCUGAUCUCUGAAAGCCUGCCCAGCGCUGGCUGGGGAAAGGCGGGGCGCUUCUUUCUAAGGGUGGCUGAGACCGGGAAGUGUGCUCAGGCCUCCUCUAUCCCAUGCUGCUGGAGGCACGCACAGGGCAGUGAGGGACAUGGACCUACCCAGGUGGGAAAAAGAAGCGAAACAGGACACACCUCACAAACACCAGUUGGCCUCAACGGAAAGGUUUACUUUCAGAAGUUCCGUUCUGUCCACACAGCUCUCCCCAUAUCUGUAACUUCCUUGGUUAUUGUAGUUGUAUAGUACGUUUGAAAUUGGAACUUGUAAGCUAAUCAGUUUUAUCCUUCUUUUUCAAGGUCCUUUUUCAAUAAGUUCUGUUGGCAUUUCCCCAGUUUUUGGGUUGAUGCCAAUCUGUGAAAUGUUUUGGUAGAAUUAACCAGUAAAGCCAUCUGCUCCAGUAAUUUCAUUUAUGGGUUGAUUUUUUGAUUACUGAUUGAAUCUCUCUACUUUAAAAAGUCUAAUCAAGACUUUCUGUGUCUUCUGGAGUCAUUUUAACUGGAUACAGUAUUUUUAAACUUGUUGUAUGCUUUGCUUAAUCUCCAGACUCUU